CAGCACCGCCACGGUAAUACGAAGGGUGCAAGCGUUAAUCGGAAUUACUGGGCGUAAAGCGUGCGUAGGCGGUGAGUUAAGUCUGCUGUGAAAUCCCCGGGCUCAACCUGGGAAUGGCAGUGGAUACUGGCUCGCUAGAGUGUGUCAGAGGAUGGUGGAAUUCCCGGUGUAGCGGUGAAAUGCGUAGAGAUCGGGAGGAACAUCAGUGGCGAAGGCGGCCAUCUGGGACAACACUGACGCUGAGGCACGAAAGCGUGGGGAGCAAACAGGAUUAGAUACCCCGGUAGUCCCUGUCUCUUAUACA
rnacentral:rRNA from 1 species